rnacentral:pre_miRNA from 1 species
AUGUAUGGCAAUCUGUCUUUUAGUAGUGGUAAAUUACUCUUGAAAAAAAAAAAGACAGUUUCCCCUUCAAGCCAAGCAAUAA